CCUCUGUCCCUGAGACCCUUAACCUGUGAGGUCAUAGUAGGUCACAGGUGAGGUCCUUGGGAACAGGG
rnacentral:pre_miRNA from 8 species